UGUUCUUACCUUUUUUCUGAAUUCGAUAACAAAACGUUGCAAAUACGCACACUUUUCCAUAAAGGUAUGUAGACUUGCUUCUUUAUAACGCUUUCUUCUUUUGCCAAAUCAACAUGGAGUAGAGUGCUUCCAAGAUCCAAAUGGUUAUAUUCUUUCCUGAACAAACUGUCUUCAGGAAAAUCGUCAAUGGUCACGGCUUCAUGGUCUAAUAAAAUGAACAAAUCAGAUAAUGUAGUAUGAAACAAACAGCUUUCAGCGAUAAAAUGAGAAGCAAGAUUCGCUCCAUCGCUUUGAACUCGAAAAACGCAAGUACCGUUUUUUUCUGCUAUCUCUCUUGAAAGACUUCCAAAAUCUUGUCUCACAAAAAUUUUGAGACCACCAUGCACGAAUUUAACACGAUUACGAUUGUUCUCAAUUACGUUUCUGAAAAGAUCGUUGGAAAUAUAAAUGGCUUUCGUAGGGACACCAUUGACAUUUCUAACGAAAAACUGAUUCUUCUUUAUGAUAGCUUCAUCAAUGCCAAACUUCUUAUAGAUUUUCUCGAGAGCUUGAUCGUCCUCUUUUAUAUACACGAAAGGAUCCAAUUCGUGAAAUCGAUUGCCCCCAUUUUUUCCUUUUGGUUUAACUUCGGCUAAUUUUGAAUCCGAAGAUGUUUCUUGAGUAUCUUGUUUACGUUUUUUUGAUGCUUGUUCACUUGGCAACUUUUGUUCUCGUAAAAAAACCUUGUUAUCGUCGACGGCAGUUUUCAUAGAGCUAGUAAGAUUUUCAUAUUUUUCUAAAACUGCAACAAAAAAGCCUCCAGUAUUUUGGAAAUGUGGAUAAAUACGUAAGCAAUUUUGAAUAUUCAGCUCAGCAAGUUCUUUCUUUGGUAGUGGCCAUAAAGUAGGAGGCAUUUUUUCGUAAAGCUCCUUUGGCAAGGUAUCAAAUGAAGGAUAAAUAUUUAGAUCGGAAUCACAAACUACCCAGUUAUCAACACCUUGACUACGUUUUAACUGAGGAAGCUCCGAACUAACAUCCACCAACCUUACAGAACCUCGGGUAGCAUUCAAGACAGCAGAAACCACUGCCUCAUUUUCAAUUGGAUUUAAUGAACAUGUUGAAUACACCAAUCUUCCUCCUUUUUCCAACAGUUGUAAACCUCUCAUUAAAAUCUUAAUUUGUGUCGCGUGAAGCCCUAAAGCUGUUUUCAAAGACCACUCAUUCCAUAAAGCAAUGUUUUUUCUAAAGGUUCCAUCUCCAGAGCAUGGGACAUCAGCAAGGAUACGAUCAAACUUAAGGAACUUUUUACCGUCGGGAGAAGAUAGAUGGAAAUUCGGCAAAAAGGAAGCAUCGUGAUUAACAAUUAACACAUUUGGAGAAUUUAAUCGCUUAAUCUGAUGUACAAGCAUAUGCGCUCUUUUAUUGUCACUAUCAUUUGCAAUAACAAUUCCUGAAGGCAACAAAGUAGUAAUAUCUUCUUUCUUAGUUGGUUUGUGAAGUGCCUCGAGUAAUUGAGCUGUCUUAGAACCAGGCGCCGCACACAUGUCCAAAACUUUGUGGUGACUCUCUACAUUAAGAAGUAAUGGUGGAACCAUACUUACAGAUUCUUGCCUGUUUAUGUCACCCGCUUCUGUUUCAAGUACAAGAAAUUCUUGAAGUGCCUUGAGAUGAGGGCUUUUUCGAAUAACUUCCUUAGAAAUGUCCAGCAUAAAAGCCAUUCCAUCAGGAUACCAUGGAAGUGAAACUGGCAAGGGGAUUUUCGCAUCCUCAGUUCUUGCAUUCUCAAUGAGUGGAUAGUAGUGUUCUAUAAAAUAAUCACGAACUUGAGUAGCAUGACUUUUAAAAUGAUUAGAAACAAAAAAUAAUAAUGUUUUUACUUACGGAAUCGAUGCAGUUAUUCGAAAUGUUGUCGGGAGUUGUUCAGUAAGCUUUUGCUUUAAAAGGAUAAAGUCAUCCUCCGUCACUAAUUUCUGAAGCCUGUAGUACUUUUCAAAGUUUUCAUUUCUAUCUAGUAAGUAAACAUAAUCUGAAGUCAUGACUCACUUUCUCUCAAUUAAAUCCCAGUUUACAAACUCCCCUUUUUUAGACCUCUAUUUAAUACACAUUAGUAAGAUAAAAAAUAAAUUAAUUUCGUACUAACAUUUUUUUUACUAGAAUAAUGCUUACGACCCAUCUUAAACUCCUCCUUUUCCUUAUCAACGUAUCGAGUUGGU
rnacentral:lncRNA from 1 species